ensembl:ncRNA H03A11.10 ncRNA
AAAGAAACUAGUAGCGUUGUUUUGAUUGCACGUUCAAUUCUAUUUGCACGUACGUUUCUAUAUAGGAAUACCGCAUCGAUACGGGGGAAGAAGACACCUCCUCUCUUUCUCUCGGUCUCUUCAUGCCCUCUUAUAUCAACGCCACAACUUUUGACAGUUUUGAAUAGACACCCGUGAUUGUAAUAACACACAU